rnacentral:rRNA from 1 species
UAACGGGUGAGUAAUGCGUGACCAACCUGCCCCAUGCUCCAGAAUAGCUCUUGGAAACGGGUGGUAAUGCUGGAUGCUCCAACUUGACGCAUGUCUUGUUGGGAAAGUGUUUAGUGGCAUGGGAUGGGGUCGCGUCCUAUCAGCUUGUAGGCGGGGUAAUGGCCCACCUAGGCUUCGACGGGUAGCCGGCCUGAGAGGGCGGACGGCCACAUUGGGACUGAGAUACGGCCCAGACUCCUACGGGAGGCAGCAGGC